UUCCAUUCACAACGGAUCGUCCGGCACGUACCUGCCGGUGAAGGAGACAA
rnacentral:ncRNA from 1 species